AUGAGGCCUGGGGGUCUUAUUAAGAGAACAGAACGGCGCGCGGUCUGCGGGCCCCAGGACUGCGUGGCGGAGGACCUUUGCGUUGCCAGGAAGGCGCAAGAAGACGAGGCGAACCGGCUCCCUCCAAGGCCAUUCCUUUCAACUUUUUCGGAGGAGCCCCGGGGAGGUGCCUGCGUCGUGGGGCGCGUAGCCCCAUCCGGCUCUGAUGUUGCAAACGGGGUUGAGUCUGUCUCCGGUUUUCUACGUUGGUGUGGGCCUGCUCGUGUAGGAACACGCUUCCGCACGCCCGCUCUCCCUGCAGACCCCCUCGGCUCUUUGUCACCCCGAUCCGCUCUUAGGGUGUCUGCAAAGCGAAACACAUCAUAAAUCUCAAGACGGGCUGGAACCUGGAGACUUGUAAAAAGAGAGAGAGAAGAAAGGGGGGGGAGGCGGGGGGCGGGAAGGAAGGUGGCCAAGAGGGGCAUUUUGAUGAAGUCUCUGCCCUGGAAUGAAGCACUCCCCAUGACUCCGACCUAGAAGCAGUUUUCUCUUGGUACGAGGUGGGAUCGAUCCCCGCCGUCUGGGGCUGCUCUUCUCUCUCCCCUUCGCCACGCUCGCAGCGAAGAACAGAUGUGCUGGGCUUUAUAAAUGCUGACCAGCUGGGAAGGCUGCAGCCAACAUCCACACAGCUUUUCCCAAAUGCUGAUGCCUGAGGAGGCCUCGGGGAGGAAGACUGGGGGUCUCUCAGACACAUCUUGUGGCCUGCCUGCUUCCAGAAACUUCCGUGGGGUUCCCUGAAAGGGAAGCGCUAAAGAAAACACAGAAUCCCUGGAGCCUCUGCUUUGGGCACCCCACGUGGCUGUGCUGCUGUUUGUAAAGACCCGAAGCGCCCGACGGGUAAUAAUAAUCCAGGGCCCUCCGGGCUGAGAUGGGGCUGGUGCGCGUGUUGAGGGCUCAGGACAGAGGGCUAAGGCUGACCUUUUCCUUUAAAUAACGUAAAGAGGCGAACGCGGAUUGUGGCACUCGGCAAGUAUUUGUUCCCCCCUCCAGAAGAUUAAAGGGGCCAUUUGUUUUCCUAAGUCUCAACCUGGCCUAUGGGUCCAUUUCAUGUGUCAGUUUCUAGUUCGCUCUCCUCCGAAGGGCUGCCUGGAGCACACAAAGGCAGGAAACUCAAUUCAACACAGGCCCGGUGACAUCUCUGUUUGGGGUGUGUGUGUAUGUGCGAGAGAGACCGAGAGAGUGUGUGUGUUUGUAUAGAGGCUGACAACGUGUUCUCCACAAUCAGAUCACUGCUCAGUAGACUUAUUGUUCACAGCUUUAGAAACAGCUGGGGGGGACUGUGUAAGAAUCAUUUAAAUAGAGCUGCUCAUAAACCGUCCACUCCAGGGCUUGGGAAGGGGGUCAAACCUGUGCCAUCGGGAUUUUUCUUUUUUGAAGACAGUCUUCUCUGAUUCUCCAAACGUGUUCGUUGAAUAUGUGCGUCCUCCUCGAUGCACACACAACUUUCAGUCCAGGUGUAACAUACAUACAGCAAAGCACAUACAGCGUUAAGUGUACCCAGAAUCUAGAUUUAAAACAAAAACAAAAAAAGCAAGCGGGGCACCUGGGUGGCUCAGUCAGUUAAGCAUCUGAGUCUUGGUUUCAGCUCAGGUCAUGAUCUCGUGUUCACGGUUCAUGAGUUCGAGCCCUGGGUCUGUCUCCACACUGAGAACGCAGAGCCUGCUUGGGAUUCUCUUGUCUCCCUCUCCCUCUGCCUCUCUCCAGCUCACUCUCUCUCUCUCUCUCUCAAGAUAAAUAAAUCAACUUUAAAAUAAAUAAAAUAAAAAAGC
ensembl:lncRNA